AUUGGGAAGUCUGAUUGGAUAGCCACAGAAAGUCUGGGCUGGGAAAGUAGGGGAAGAUUUGCUAAGGCAGUAGAGGAGAGAAUUUUUGCAAGCUGUUUAUAGAUGUAUUCCUGAUGAAAAAUGCAUAAUGAAAUGCAUGAAUUUUUUUUUUUAUGGGGUAUAUCAAUUAAACUGAUUUGUAUUUAUUUUGUAUUUGGGCAGUGGAG